GCUGGGUGUGGCGGCGCAUACCUGUAAUCCCAGCUACUCAGGAGGCCGAGGCAGGAGAAUUGCUUGAACCUGGGAGGAGGAGGUUGCAGUGAGCCAAGAUCUCGCCACUGCUCUCCAGCCUGGNNNNNNNNNNAUUUUUUUUUUUUUUUUGAGACAGAGUCUCGUUCUGUCACCCAGGCUGGGGUGCAGUGGCAAAAUCUCGGCUCACUGCAACCUUUGCUUCCCAGGUUCAAGCAAUUUUCCCACCUCAG
rnacentral:SRP_RNA from 1 species